CUUCUGAGCACGUGGUAUUCCCUUGCUUUGGGACCUGGGCCCUUUGUGGUAGCAGAAUCAGAGCACAGAGGACAAUGCCUGGGGGCUUAUAGUAAGACCCAGAGUGUUGCUGGAGGUCUCAGGUCUAUCCAAAUUGGAGCUAGUAGAGCCUGAAGAAAAGUGGAACCACCCAGCCAAGCCAAGAAGGGUUAGUACUUCUGCUUUGAGAGCAGACCUCACACAAACAGAUGGGAAGCAGAAACGAGGGAAGAGGAUUGAAGAUGAACCCACGUUUUAAAAGUCCUUGUCUGCAGGAGGUGGCAUUACCUGUGACCUCGCUUCACUUCUUCAUACAUGGCUGUUGUAGCAGGCAUGAGUUCCUGAGGUUUGCACCUUGACACCACAAAACAAUUUGAUAGCAUGAGAAAAUGCUGGAGAUAAAAGGCUGAGAGAAUGAGAACAAAUGUGGGAAGCCUUGGUCAAGUAGAAAAAGAAAUCUGGAAAAGAGAAGAUGCCUAAUGAAGUUGGAUGACUUAAGUCUCAGUUUGAUAUCUGCUGCUGCUAAGUCGCUUCAGUCGUGUCCAACUCUUAGCGACUCCAUGGACUGCAGACUACCGGCUCCUCCGCCCAUGGGAUUUUGCAGGCAAGAGUACUGGAGUGGGGUGCCAUUGCCUUCUCCGCAGUUUGAUAUCUAACGGAAAACAAAAAUUAAAUGCAAAAGUAUGAACAGGUUUCCUCAAACUGAACAAAGUACCGGGCAGCCAUAUUUUCCUAUAUCUUUGUUCAUGGUGUUUUUUCAGACGCGAAG
ensembl:lncRNA